rnacentral:rRNA from 1 species
GACGAACCACACAAACGUUAUUCGGAAUUACUGGGCUUAAAGGGUGCGUAGGCUGCGCAGAAAGUUGGGUGUGAAAUACCUCGGCUCAACCGAGGAACUGCGCCCAAAACUACUGUGCUUGAGGGAGAUAGAGGUAAGCGGAACUGAGGGUGGAGCGGUGAAAUGCGUUGAUAUCCUCAGGAACACCGGUGGCGAAAGCGGCUUACUGGAUCUCUUCUGACGCUGAGGCACGAAAGCUAGGGUAGCGAACGGG